GACAGAGGGUGCAAACGUUGCUCGGAUUUACUGGGCGUAAAGCGCAAGUAGGCGGUCUUGUAAGUCGGGUGUGAAAACCCGGGGCUCAACCCCGGCAGUGCACACGAUACUGCGAGACUGGGGUACUGAAGAGGAGAGCGGAAUUCUCGGUGUAGAGGUGAAAUUCGUAGAUAUCGGGAGGAACACCAGUGGCGAAGGCGGCUCUCUGGGCAGAUACCGACGCUGAGAUGCGAAAGCGUGGGAAGCAAACAGGAUUAGAUACCCUGGUAGUCCACGCCGUAAACGAUGACGACUGGGUGUUGCGGGUAUUGACCCCCGCGGUGCCGAAGCUAACGCGUUAAGUCGUCCGCCUGGGAAGUACGGCCGCAAGGCUAAA
rnacentral:rRNA from 1 species